UGAGGAGGAAAGAAUAUCAGCUCUGGUAUUGGAACUUCCCAAUGUAAUGAGCUCUGUGCCUUUAAGGCUGUUGAUGGGUGUAAUUAAGAGAAUCAGAAGAGGUCAAAAGACAAACUGUGAUGGAAUUUUUGUCAUGGGUAGCAGCAUCAUUCAAACAGAAAAACGCAAAGAGAGCCCACUAUGCAGAUAAUAGUGCCAAGAUAGCGCCUCAAUCAGAAACAGAAAUGUUGGAAAAAGCAAGAGAGAAAGUUGGCUUUACCCCUUGACUUCUCAGCUUUAUUCCUGGAUGUAUGGAUUUGACCCCACUGAGCCUCUUCCACCGUACUGAUCUGACUUCUGGAUGGAUGGAGCCUGGUUGUCAAGACGCAAAAUUGGAGAGAUUCAGACUUAUGCUUCUUCUGUGUGAAAUGCUCCACAAGGGGUGCCUCCAUAACCCCAUUUUGGAUCUGUGAUGAAAGUUCUGUUAUUCAUAUCUUUAUGCUUCUUGAAGUUUGACCAGUAUAAAAUA